rnacentral:rRNA from 1 species
GCCGAGCGGUAUUUGUUCUUCGGAACAGAGAGAGCGGCGUACGGGUGCGGAACACGUGUGCAACCUGCCUUUAUCUGGGGGAUAGCCUUUCGAAAGGAAGAUUAAUACCCCAUAAUAUAUUGAAUGGCAUCAUUCGAUAUUGAAAACUCCGGUGGAUAGAGAUGGGCACGCGCAAGAUUAGAUAGUUGGUGAGGUAACGGCUCACCAAGUCUGCGAUCUUUAGGGGGCCUGAGAGGGUGAUCCCCCACACUGGUACUGAGACACGGACCAGACUCCUACGGGAGGCAGCAGUGAGGAAUAUUGGACAAUGGGUGAGAGCCUGAUCCAGCCAUCCCGCGUGAAGGACGACGGCCCUAUGGGUUGUAAACUUCUUUUGUAUAGGGAUAAACCUACUCUCGUGAGAGUAGCUGAAGGUACUAUACGAAUAAGCACCGGCUAACUCCGUGCCAGCAGCCGCGGUAAUACGGAGGGUGCAAGCGUUAUCCGGAUUUAUUGGGUUUAAAGGGUCCGUAGGCGGAUCUGUAAGUCAGUGGUGAAAUCUCACAGCUUAACUGUGAAACUGCCAUUGAUACUGCAGGUCUUGAGUGUUAUUGAAGUAGCUGGAAUAAGUAGUGUAGCGGUGAAAUGCAUAGAUAUUACUUAGAACACCAAUUGCGAAGGCAGGUUACUAAGCAACAACUGACGCUGAUGGACGAAAGCGUGGGGAGCGAACAGGAUUAGAUACCCUGGUAGUCCACGCCGUAAACGAUGCUAACUCGUUUUUGGGGCUUCGGCUUCAGAGACUAAGCGAAAGUGAUAAGUUAGCCACCUGGGGAGUACGAACGCAAGUUUGAAACUCAAAGGAAUUGACGGGGGCCCGCACAAGCGGUGGAUUAUGUGGUUUAAUUCGAUGAUACGCGAGGAACCUUACCAAGGCUUAAAUGGGAAAUGACAGGUUUAGAAAUAGACUUUUCUUCGGACAUUUUUCAAGGUGCUGCAUGGUUGUCGUCAGCUCGUGCCGUGAGGUGUUAGGUUAAGUCCUGCAACGAGCGCAACCCCUGUCACUAGUUGCCAUCAUUAAGUUGGGGACUCUAGUGAGACUGCCUACGCAAGUAGAGAGGAAGGUGGGGAUGACGUCAAAUCAUCACGGCCCUUACGCCUUGGGCCACACACGUAAUACAAUGGCCAGUACAGAGGGCAGCUACACAGCGAUGUGAUGCAAAUCUCGAAAGCUGGUCUCAGUUCGGAUUGGAGUCUGCAACUCGACUCUAUGAAGCUGGAAUCGCUAGUAAUCGCGCAUCAGCCAUGGCGCGGUGAAUACGUUCCCGGGCCUUGUACACACCGCCCGUCAAGCCAUGGAAGUCUGGGGUACCUGAAGUCGGUGACCGUAAUAGGAGCUGCCUAGGGUAAAACAGGUAACUAG